rnacentral:rRNA from 1 species
GAUGAACGCUGGCGGCGUGCCUAAUACAUGCAAGUCGAGCGAACAGACGAGGAGCUUGCUCCUCUGACGUUAGCGGCGGACGGGGGAGUAACACGUGGAUAACCUACCUAUAAGACUGGGAUAACUUCGGGAAACCGGAGCUAAUACCGGAUAAUAUAUUGAACCGCAUGGUUCAAUAGUGAAAGACGGUUUUGCUGUCACUUAUAGAUGGAUCCGCGCCGCAUUAGCUAGUUGGUAAGGUAACGGCUUACCAAGGCGACGAUGCGUAGCCGACCUGAGAGGGUGAUCGGCCACACUGGAACUGAGACACGGUCCAGACUCCUACGGGAGGCAGCAGUAGGGAAUCUUCCGCAAUGGGCGAAAGCUUGACGGAGCAACGCCGCGUGAGUGAUGAAGGUCUUCGGAUCGUAAAACUCUGUUAUUAGGGAAGAACAAAUGUGUAAGUAACUAUGCACGUCUUGACGGUACCUAAUCAGAAAGCCACGGCUAACUACGUG